GGUUCCAAAAAAUACAAUUUAGGAACUUAAUUUGAAGGCAAAAACAAUGUCAUUGUAACUAAGGGGGUUGCAAUUGUCAGUGACAUUUUGAUGUUCUAUUUAAUGUAGGCCAAAGGAUCUUCAGAGGAUAUUUGGACACUUUGGUCCGUUAAAGAACAUCUACUUGCCAAGGGAUUAUUGUAGCGGGUAUAAAACAUCAUCUUUAUAUAAAAGGCAAUGGUCGCGCCUACUAAAUAAGAAGUGAUUGGUACGAAUAGGAGAUAUAAAAUAACACUCCAUUGUGAUCGUCUAUUUUCUUACAUGAAGGUAAAAGGUUGAAAUUAUUUAAAAAUAAGUUUCAAACACAAUGAUGUAUGUCUUAUUUCAUAAAUGACAUGAAUGACCAGACAUUAUUAUUUAA